rnacentral:rRNA from 1 species
GCAAGUCAACGGAUCCAGGUAUCAGACUUUGAACAUUGGAAGUUGGACGAAAUGGUCUGACGUCUGAUGUCUGAAGUCUGACAUCUGGAUUAGUGGCGGACGGGUGAGUAACGCGUGAGCAACCUGCCUUACAAGGGGGAUAACACUUGGAAACAGGUGCUAAUACCGCAUAACAUAUUUUUAUGGCAUCAUAGAGAUAUCAAAGGAGCAAUCCGCUGUAAGAUGGGCUCGCGUCCGAUUAGAUAGUUGGUGAGGUAACGGCUCACCAAGUCUGCGAUCGGUAGCCGGACUGAGAGGUUGAACGGCCACAUUGGGACUGAGACACGGCCCAGACUCCUACGGGAGGCAGCAGUGGGGGAUAUUGCACAAUGGGCGAAAGCCUGAUGCAGCAACGCCGCGUGAGGGAAGACGGUCUUCGGAUUGUAAACCUUUAGCUUUGGGGAAGAAACAAAUGACGGUACCCAAAGGGGCAGCCACGGCUAACUACGUG